UACGUAGGGACCAAGCGUUGUUCGGAUUUACUGGGCGUAAAGGGCGCGUAGGCGGCGUGGUAAGUCAGCUGUGAAAUCUCCGAGCUUAACUCGGAACGGUCAGCUGAUACUGCUGUGCUAGAGUACAGAAGGGGCAAUCGGAAUUCUUGGUGUAGCGGUGAAAUGCGUAGAUAUCAAGAGGAACACCUGAGGCGGAGGCGGGUUGCUAGGCUGAUACUGACGCUGAGGCGCGAAAGCUAGGGUAGCAAACGGG
rnacentral:rRNA from 1 species